rnacentral:rRNA from 1 species
GAUGAACGCUAGCUGGAGGCUUAAUACAUGCAAGUCGAGCGGGAUUGGUCCAGCAAUGGACCAUGAGAGCGGCGCACGGGUGAGUAACGCGUACACGACCUACCUCUAACUGGGGGAUAGCCCUGGGAAACUGGGAUUAAUACCGCAUAUAAUUUUGAUUUUAAAAGUUCAAAAUGAAAGUUCAGGCGGUUAGAGAUGGGUGUGCGUCUGAUUAGCUAGUUGGUAAGGUAACGGCUUACCAAGGCGAUGAUCAGUAGGGGGCGUGAGAGCGUGGUCCCCCACACGGGUACUGAGACACGGACCCGACUCCUACGGGAGGCAGCAGUAAGGAAUAUUGGUCAAUGGGCGCAAGCCUGAACCAGCCAUCCAGCGUGCAGGAAGAAGGCCCUAUGGGUUGUAAACUGCUUUUGUCAGGGAAGAAACCUUUGGAUUCACUCCGAAGCUGACGGUACCUGAAGAAUAAGCACCGGCUAACUCCGUGC